AAACGCGUGGCAAUUUUUUUGUGCGCAUGCGUUAGGUCCGCCAUUCACUUUGGCCAGUUUGCGGUUUCGGAAUAAUAGUCGCCUCGUACGUAAAACAUUUAGGAAGAUCAUGAAAGAUUGCGACAAAACGUGAUAAAAACAAGUUGCUAGCCAAGUGAUUGCUUGAUUCUAAAGUUAGGAUUGUGUUGCAAGUGACUUGUACUGUGUAUUAUUUCAUCCAAAGACCAACAGUGCUGGUAUUUUUAACAAUGAAGUUAUUUAAUUUUUAAAUAAAAUGUAUAGACUGGUAUUAUGUAUUCUAUAUUCUGUAAAUUCUACUGCAUAAUAUACUCACAUUUUAAAUUCAAACUGUUUUGUGAUUGUUAAAGCUUUUAUACACAGUAUUGAUCAUCAAGGGCAAAGACCUGUUUUUGGACCUGUAAUCAGUGUAAAAUGAAUAUAGUAAAGUAAAAUUUUUAUUUUUUUAAUAUAUUUUUACAACUCAGAA